GACGAACGCUGGCGGCGUGCUUAGCACAUGCAAGUCGAACGGAAAGGCCCUGCUUUUGUGGGGUGCUCGAGUGGCGAACGGGUGAGUAACACGUGAGUAACCUGCCCUUGACUUUGGGAUAACUUCAGGAAACUGGGGCUAAUACCGGAUAGGAGCUCCUGCUGCAUGGUGGGGGUUGGAAAGUUUCGGCGGUUGGGGAUGGACUCGCGGCUUAUCAGCUUGUUGGUGGGGUAGUGGCUUACCAAGGCUUUGACGGGUAGCCGGCCUGAGAGGGUGACCGGCCACAUUGGGACUGAGAUACGGCCCAGACUCCUACGGGAGGCAGCAGUGGGGAAUAUUGCACAAUGGGCGGAAGCCUGAUGCAGCAACGCCGCGUGCGGGAUGACGGCCUUCGGGUUGUAAACCGCUUUCGCCUGUGACGAAGCGUGAGUGACGGUAAUGGGUAAAGAAGCACCGGCUAACUACGUGCCAGCAGCCGCGGUGAUACGUAGGGUGCGAGCGUUGUCCGGAUUUAUUGGGCGUAAAGGGCUCGUAGGUGGUUGAUCGCGUCGGAAGUGUAAUCUUGGGGCUUAACCCUGAGCGUGCUUUCGAUACGGGUUGACUUGAGGAGGGUAGGGGAGAAUGGAAUUCCUGGUGGAGCGGUGGAAUGCGCAGAUAUCAGGAGGAACACCAGUGGCGAAGGCGGUUCUCUGGGCCUUUCCUGACGCUGAGGAGCGAAAGCGUGGGGAGCGAACAGGCUUAGAUACCCUGGUAGUCCACGCUGUAAACGGUGGGUACUAGGUGUGGGGUCCAUUCCACGGGUUCCGUGCCGUAGCUAACGCUUUAAGUACCCCGCCUGGGGAGUACGGCCGCAAGGCUAAAACUCAAAGGAAUUGACGGGGCCCCGCACAAGCGGCGGAGCAUGCGGAUUAAUUCGAUGCAACGCGUAGAACCUUACCUGGGUUUGACAUGGAUCGGGAGUGCUCAGAGAUGGGUGUGCCUCUUUUGGGGUCGGUUCACAGGUGGUGCAUGGCUGUCGUCAGCUCGUGUCGUGAGAUGUUGGGUUAAGUCCCGCAACGAGCGCAGCCCUUGUUCACUGUUGCCAGCACGUUAUGGUGGGGACUCAGUGGAGACCGCCGGGGUCAACUCGGAGGAAGGUGGGGAUGACGUCAAGUCAUCAUGCCCCUUAUGUCCAGGGCUUCACGCAUGCUACAAUGGCUGGUACAGAGAGUGGCGAGCCUGUGAGGGUGAGCGAAUCUCGGAAAGCCGGUCUCAGUUCGGAUUGGGGUCUGCAACUCGACCUCAUGAAGUCGGAGUCGCUAGUAAUCGCAGAUCAGCAACGCUGCGGUGAAUACGUUCCCGGGGCUUGUACACACCGCCCGUCAAGUCAUGAAAGUUGGUAACACCCGAAGCCGGUGGCCUAACCGUUGUGGGGGAGCCGUCGAAGGUGGGACUGGUGAUUAGGACUAAGUCGUAACAAGGUAGCCGUACCGGAAGG
rnacentral:rRNA from 1 species